AUUCCUACGGGAGGCAGCAGUAGGGAAUCUUGCGCAAUGGGCGAAAGCCUGACGCAGCCAUGCCGCGUGAAUGAUGAAGGUCUUAGGAUUGUAAAAUUCUUUCACCGGGGACGAUAAUGACGGUACCCGGAGAAGAAGCCCCGGCUAACUUCGUGCCAGCAGCCGCGGUAAUAAUC
rnacentral:rRNA from 1 species